rnacentral:rRNA from 1 species
CCUCUUGAUUAAACCAUAAGAGGUCCAGCCUGCCCAGUGACAUUGUUCAACGGCCGCGGUAUCCUAACCGUGCGAAGGUAGCGUAAUCACUUGUCCUUUAAAUGAAGACUAGUAUGAAUGGCCCCACGAAAGCUAUACUGUCUCCUUUUUCUAAUCAGUUAAACUAAUCUCCCCGUGAAGAAGCGGGGAUAAACAUAUAAGACGAGAAGACCCUAUGGAGCUUUAAACAACUGAAACAUUUGUAUACCUCCCUUCACCUACCCACAUUUAACUCCACAUCUUGUUUCUAGUUUUAGGUUGGGGUGACCACGGAGAAAAAACUAACCUCCACGAUGAAAGAGACAUCUCUAAACAAAAAGCUACAUCUUUAUGUAUUAAUACAUUAACCUUUAUUGACCCAAUAAAUUGAUCAACGAACC